rnacentral:lncRNA from 1 species
CUUAAACCGGUUACCUCUGUCAACAGCUGGGUCUCAGUCCCCCAGGGCCUGCCAAGCAACCACGCCGCAGCUCCUCAGAACUAUCCUGGCAAGUGAAAGAAGACAGAGCUUUCACUCCCAAGACUUUCCUCUUCCACAGGGUAAGAGUUAAUUUCAGACUGUGCUGUAAUCUGUGCAAGUUCACCCAAACUGAGCCAAUUCCCAUGGCUUUGGGAACGCCCCAAGGCAGAGAAACUGGAAAACAUCCUGCAGGGUAAGGCCUGAGUACUUGAAAGUCACAGCUAUCUGCACCAGAUCCGGGCACCCAGGAGGUGAAGAGAGACAGAGCCAAGGAAUGCGAUGCUGUGCUCAAGAGGCAUCUGCUACAACCAGCGGACCCCUUAUCUCCUUUGUGUCUACCUCUGAGUUAAUAUUCAGCACUGAGGAAAUCCACCAGUCUUCUUAGGGGACAGCAGGAUCUGCCUUUUCAGGUUAUGGUUGGAAUCCAACAAGUUAAGGUACACCAAGACCUGCAUAACAUGGCCUCACAGGUCAUCUACUGGGACAGGUUUCAUAAGAAAGAAAACAAAUCAGCUCUCAUUGAUGACAC